ensembl:lncRNA
CCUCAGUGCUUCCCAAUCCCCCAAAGUUUACGUGUGUUCAGAUUUUCAUGGUUUAGUUCCGAUUCCAUUUCUGUCUGAAAUGGGUGUUUUUGGUAACAGAUGUAAAGUUAAAGAUGUUAGAAGGCAGGUUUAAAAAAAUAUGACUGAUUUUACUAUUUUUUUAAACAUCUCAUUAUUUUUAAUCUCGUGAUAUUUUUAGAUCUAAUUCCUACUUUUUAAAUAUUUGGGACUGGCAGUAGUGGAAAACACACCAGAUUGAAAUGAUCAGCAUUCAGCCUGAUGCCAUGAAAACUAGUCUGAGGAGUGGAAUCAGUGAUGAACAAGGAACCAGCCCAGAGGACCAUGUUAGCCCUUUUUGCUACAGCCUCACACUUGAAGCUCAUGAUCGGGUGGUUAUCUACAGUGAUCCUUUUCAGAGUCACUGCCUUCCAGGAAAGUACCGAGUUCCCUGGGUGGAUAUGUGGCAGGGAAGCACACAGGACAGAUAUGACUUGCCCAGCCAUUGAAGGGUGGUUUCCAGCGGUCCAAAGAACACAUGAAGUGUGCCUCAAAGGGUACUACAAGGAUCUUGUUUCAUUGAGAGCAGCAUGUGACUUCAGCAGCUCUCUGUUUUUAAUGCGUAAUGUAUCAGUUCUGUGCAUGUUUUAAUGCUUUCCCCUAUCCCUUGCAGGGCAGGCUUGCUCCCACUCUUCCUCCUCCACCAGAAGCUGCAAUGCCAAGUGUUCCCCAACACAGUAUCUCAAAACACUUCACAAGCCCCUGAGGUGACAUUCACCUUUGUGCAGGGACAGCACAAGACCUACGUGUGUAUCACUUAAUUCCCAUUUAAGCCCUAUUUUGGCCCAUUGCAUAGGCAUGAAAUGGAUACCAGUAGUGCAGUGACUGUGCAGACAAAUGGAGCAGUGCGAUGGGAACCAGACAUUUUCCAAAACCUUUGGAUUUUUCUCUAGUCUCGGAUUCGUAUACUGUACCCAAUCAAGUGCUAGUUCCUCCAAGUUAAUUAUCUUGAUUAAUAACUUACAUAGCACCUUCCAUUCAACAAUCUCAAAGCAUUUUACAACUAUGAAUGAAUUAUACCUCAACUACUAGGUGUGGUAUUACUAUUUAUACCAAUUUUACAGAUAGCCAAACUGAGACACUGAGAAAUUAAUUGAGUUGCUCAAGAGCCUACAUAGCAAGGACACAGAAGUCAUUACACCAGUUCUCUUACUGUAACCAUUAGAGAACACUUCCCUUCCAGCUCUUAGUUUUCACUACUGGAAUUACAGUGUACAGCACAUGACAGUGCACCUUAGACACUGGGCCAACUUCUACCCUCAAUUAUACUAGUGCAACCCCAUUGAAGUCCAUAGGGUUGAACUGAUGUAACAAUGGAGAGUUUGGCUGGGUAGAAAACACAUUUUUUCAUAGAUUCCAAGGCCAGAAGGGACCACUGUGAUUAUCUAGUCCGACCUCCUGUACAACACAGGCCACAGAACUUCCCCCAAAAUUAUUCCUACAGCAUAUAUUUUUAAACUGUCAGUGAUGGAGACUCCACUAGGUAAAUUGUUCCAGUGAUUAAUUACUCUGAUGGUUAAAAAUGUACACCUAUUUCCAGUCUGAAUUUGUGUAGCUUCAACUUCCAGCCCUUGGAUCAUGUUAUACUUGUCUCUGCUAGACUGAAGAGCCCAUUAUUAAAUAUUUAUUCUCUGUGUAGAUACUUAUAGACUGUAAUCAAGUCACCCCUUAAUCUUCUCUUUGUUAAACUAAAUAGAUUGAGCUCCUUGAGUCUAUCAGUAUACAACAUGUUUUCUAAUCCUUUAAUCAUUCUCAUGGCUCUUCUCUGAACCCUCACCAAUUCAAAUCUCUGCAAAACAUUGUUCUGCAAAAUAAAAGUCUAAUAAAUAUUACUUGUAUACAGUUUAACUUAUUUAGUUCAUCAUGCAAAGCCACCAGUAUCCUAAUGAAUCAAAAAUUAUUUACAAGAAUGUACUAUAUCCAGGGGGAUACUUAAUAAAACAGAAUAUGUAAUCACACUUUAAAAUCAGUUAUUAUUUGUUAUCAUUAGAGAUGAGCAAUAAAAUUCCCAGCAAAAAAAAAUUUACACAAUGAAUUUAGCUUCUUUUUUCUGCCGAUGGGAUAUCCACGAGCAGAUAAUUUCCCUCGUUUUUAUUCUUCAUACAAAAGUGCUUGAUGAUUUUUUGUGUCGUUUUUUGAUGAUUUUUUUUAACUCUGUGGACUGAUAAUGAACCAUUCUCUGUAUCUGAUAUUUGCUAUUUAAGUUGUAUAGCUUAGUUGUGAUUGGUCAGAAAAGUCACAUGAUAUUGUUACGGUCACUGAGUAGAUGAGUGCACAAGCACUUCUAGUGUGAAUACGCACACUUACAAAUUUAAAAACCAUUUUCUGCAACUACUCACACAUACCAUUUCCAAAUGCACUUUUUGUAAAAAUGUUUGUCAAAAAACCUCCGCUGAGUGAAUGCUAACAGAAAGCAAACACAAGAAGGGCUGUAGCAUGACCCAGUUCAUUUAAAAAUACAGACAGAUAUUUGCUGGAAAUUGGUUUCAGUGUUUGCCCUGCUUAGGUUAUUAUUAUGAAAUACUGUAUAAUUGAUAUGAAUGUCUGGGGUUAUCUCGCCUGAUUGUAUCAGCAAAGUAUGGUAUCACUCACUAAUUACUUUUAACGUGAUUUUAGCAGGAGGGCACUGGAUGCUGGAGAACACAGUUGUCUUUUAAAAUACAGCAAAACACUGUCUCAUUAUAAAUUAAACUCCAGACUGGGAGCAGCUAAAAUUCUUAAUGGCUAACUUUGAGCAGGCAGCAUUUUACCAUUAAACAAGUAAAAAUUCAAAACCUGUUUCUUGUGAUUAUCUUACCCAUCAAAGCAGCAUUUUUCUAAAAAAUCAUUUUGUUGCCCUAAUGAGCAUUUAAAUCAUAAAAUAGCUGGCUGCCUGGAGUUCAC